rnacentral:lncRNA from 1 species
CUAAGCUGGUCCUUGGAUCCAAUUCUGCCAUCGCUGCUACCGAUUGAUGCUACCUCAUUCGAAUAAGGGGUGCUCCUCUAACGCACUUUGAUAGUUACAGGACACUGGAAACCGACAGUGAAAGUAUUGUAAGAGAUUAGAAACAGUCCAAAAGAGCAAUGAAAAAUGGGAAAGAAUUUAUUGCAUAUGUGGCGCAUUGUGUAACGCCCCGGCAACUUACAGGGACUGCUGACUGCUUAACCAUGGAGUUCUUAUGAGUUAGGCUACCGAAAAGCAAAUGCUUUUGUUGAUAUGAGUAGCCAAAUCAAUUCCUUUAAGCUAUCCUUCAACUGUAUAGUCCCAUACCUAUACAGUCUUUAGAUCUCUCUCAUUUCGGUGUAUGUUCGAUUCGUCCACGUGUCCCUUCCACUGGAAGCCUACCAGGAGCCACUCCUUGUCCAUGCCUCUUACAUUGGCG